ensembl:lncRNA
UAAGUAGUGGGGAUGUUGAUGUACUGGCUAAACAAGCACUAAGUAGUGGGGAUGUUGAUGUACUGGCUAAACAAGCACUAGAGAUGUAGAGAUGAUAGGUUAAAGGCCUGAUAUGGACAGGGGCGGUGUAGAGAUGAUAGGUUAAAGGCCUGAUAUGGACAGUGAUGGUGUAGAGAUGAUAGGUUAAAGGCCUGAUAUGGACAGUGAUGGUGUAGAGAUGAUAGGUUAAAGGCCUGAUAUGGACAGGGGCGGUGUAGAGAUGAUAGGUUAAAGGCCUGAUAUGGACAGUGAUGGUGUAGAGAUGAUAGGUUAAAGGCCUGAUAUGGACAGUGAUGGUGUAGAGAUGAUAGGUUAAAGGCCUGAUAUGGACAGGGGCGGUGUAGAGAUGAUAGGUUAAAGGCCUGAUAUGGACAGGGGCGGUGUAGAGAUGAUAGGUUAAAGGCCUGAUAUGGACAGGGGCGGUGUAGAGAUGAUAGGUUAAAGGCCUGAUAUGGACAGUGAUGGUGUAGAGAUGAUAGGUUAAAGGCCUGAUAUGGACAGUGAUGGUGUAGAGAUGAUAGGUUAAAGGCCUGAUAUGGACAGUGAUGGUGUAGAGAUG